GUUUAUGUUAAACGGCAAAUUCUCCCUGCACCAGUGAUCAAAUUUGAAUACAGACGUGGAGAAUGUGCUAAUUUCCUUUUUUUUUUUUUUUUUUUUUUUUUUUUUUUUGUCGACGAUCUCUUUCAGGUUCUGCUGAAGGCACGUCUGCUCUUUCAGGUUCUGCUGAAGUGCACGUCUGCUCUUUCAGGUUCUGCUGAAGUGCACGUCUGCUCUUUCAGGUUCUGCUGAAGUGCACGUCUGCUCUUUCAGGUUCUGCUGAAGUGCACGUCUGCUCUUUCAGGUUCUGCUGAAGUGCACGUCUGCUCUUUCAGGUUCUGCUGAAGUGCACGUCUGCUCUUUCAGGUUCUGCCGAAGUGCUCGUCUGCUCUUUGCACAGAGUCUCUUGUUGCUUGAGCUACAUGUCUUUGACAAUAAAAAUAAUAUAAUUUAUUGAACGUUUAAAGCAUUCU